rnacentral:rRNA from 1 species
GCGUGAGUGAUGAAGGCCCUAGGGUUGUAAAACUCUUUCGGCGGGGACGAUAAUGACGGUACCCGCAGAAGAAGCUCCGGCUAACUUCGUGCCAGCAGCCGCGGUAAUACGAAGGGGGCUAGCGUUGUUCGGAAUUACUGGGCGUAAAGCGCGCGCAGGCGGUCCUUUAAGUCGGGGGUGAAAGCCCAGAGCUCAACUCUGGAACUGCCUUCGAAACUAGAGGACUUGGGUACGGGAGAGGUGAGUGGAAUUCCGAGUGUAGAGGUGAAAUUCGU